rnacentral:rRNA from 1 species
AUGCUUGAUAGACUGCAUGCUGAGGAGUUGCAACUUAGAAGACUUAAUUAUGGGGUGGUUACUCUGAUUCCUAAAACGAAAGAUGCUGCAACUAUCAAGCAAUAUUGGCCAAUAUGUUUAUAUUAUGUUUGUCAGAAAAUUGUGACUAAAGUACUGACAAAUAGGCUUGAGAGAGUUGCAGAUAAGGUGGUGAGUAAGAGUCAUACGACAUUUAUGAAAAACGGAAAUAUUUUAGAUGGGGUGGUCACUAUCCAUGAGGUGUUUCAUGAGCUUAGGAGGACUAAACAAGAGGGGGUCAUACUAAAGCUAGACUUUGAAAAAGCAUAUGAUAGGGUGAAUUGGGAUUUUCUACAAGAGGUUUUGCUUAAAAAGGGUUUUCUUUAG